rfam:Hordeum vulgare subsp. vulgare, WGS project CAJW01000000 data, contig: morex_contig_1585897
UUUAUACUCCCUCCAUCCCAAAAUUCUUGUCUUAGGUUUGUCUAAAAGUGGAUGUAUCUAAAUACUAUAACAUGACUAGAUACAUUCAUAUUUAGACAAAUCUAAGACAAGAAUUUUGAGACGGAAGAAGUAAAAC